ensembl:processed_transcript 5330411J11Rik RIKEN cDNA 5330411J11 gene
AGUGCGAGGCCAGCCUGGUCUACAGAGUGAGUUCCAGGUCAGCCAGGGCAACCUUGUCUCGAAAAACCAAAACCAAAACCAAAACCAAAACCAACCAACCAACCAAACAAACAACCCAAGCGACUUGGAUUCUUCCUCUGGACAGCUGCCACCAGGGGUUCUGAAGAGAAAACCUCUUGAAAGGGUUGCUGGCAGCCUGGCAGGAUGGUAAUGGGCUGAUGUGAUAACACAUUUGUCUGCUUUUCUGCUGAUUGAUUCCUCCCUGGGCUCGGACACAUCCUAUAGCUCAUCUCCAGAAGGACCACAGGUGUACAGAGGUCAGAGGACAAUUUGCAGCAGUCAAUUCCUUCUGGAACCACUCAGGUGGUCAGGCAUUGUGACUGGUGCCUUUUCCUGAGCCCUCUCACUACCCCCUUACCUUUCAUCCUGUAGAGUCGACUCAUUCAUUAGCUGUUCCGUGCAGCAGGCU